AUUGCUUCUCAGCCUUUUGGCUAAGAUCAAGUGUAGUUUUAUUAGUUACCUUAUAGUGGCAUAUCCUUUCUAAUUUGCAGAUUUCAGAAUCUUUUAGUUUCUUUAUAUAUGGUCUUGAUGAGUCCAUCUGACUUGAUGUCCCUUGACAAUCAGAUGCAGACACCAUCUC
ensembl:snRNA U2 U2 spliceosomal RNA